rnacentral:rRNA from 1 species
CAGGCCUAACACAUGCAAGUCGAACGCCCCGCAAGGGGAGUGGCAGACGGGUGAGUAACACGUGGGAACGUACCCUUUGGUUCGGAACAACCCUGGGAAACUAGGGCUAAUACCGGAUACGCGCGAGAGCGGAAAGGUUUACCGCCGAAGGAUCGGCCCGCGUCUGAUUAGCUAGUUGGUGAGGUAACGGCUCACCAAGGCGACGAUCAGUAGCUGGUCUGAGAGGAUGAUCAGCCACAUUGGGACUGAGACACGGCCCAAACUCCUACGGGAGGCAGCAGUGGGGAAUAUUGGACAAUGGGCGCAAGCCUGAUCCAGCCAUGCCGCGUGAGUGAUGACGGCCCUAGGGUUGUAAAGCUCUUUUACCUGGGAAGAUAAUGACGGUACCAGGAGAAUAAGCCCCGGCUAACUUCGUGCCAGCAGCCGCGGUAAU